GGUCAGGAUGAACGCUAGCUACAGGCUUAACACAUGCAAGUCGAGGGGCAGCAUGGUCUAGCUGCUAAGACCGAUGGCGACCGGCGCACGGGUGAGUAACGCGUAUCCAACCUUCCCCUUAGUAGGGCAUAGCCCGUAGAAAUGCGGAUUAAUACCCUAUGUUGUAUAUUGAGGACAUCUGAUUUAUACCAAAGGUUCACCGCUAAGGGAUGGGGAUGCGUCUGAUUAGGUUGUUGGCGGGGUAACGGCCCACCAAGCCUACGAUCAGUAGGGGUUCUGAGAGGAAGGUCCCCCACAUUGGAACUGAGACACGGUCCAAACUCCUACGGGAGGCAGCAGUGAGGAAUAUUGGUCAAUGGACGAGAGUCUGAACCAGCCAAAGUAGCGUGCAGGAUGACGGCCCUAUGGGUUGUAAACUGUCUUUUAUACGGGGAUAAAGUGAGGGACGCGUCCCUUUUUGUAGGUACCGUAUGAAUAAGGACCGGCUAAUUCCGUGCCAGCCGCAGC
rnacentral:rRNA from 1 species